AUGCGAAAAUUCAUAAUUCAUCAUCGCAUUGACAUGGAUCUUAGAAAUAAAAUAGAAAAAGGAAGAAGAAAAACGAGGGAUCAGAAGUCUAUUAAGGAUGGUAAUCAGUCACUGGAAAUCAGAAACACGGACCAACUUUUCUUCAUCACAUGCCAGUUAUGCAGAAACGAAAAAAAAAUAGAGAGAAAUCGCAAUGGCAGAGAGAUCAUCAGAGACUUAAAUACUAAGAAUCAGAUCAUGGAUCAUAUUGUUGCAGUAUUUGCUCAUCCUUUGAUACAUAGGCCAUGGCGACAGUGCAAAAAAACGAGAUGCGCAAAGCAGAAUCGAAACAGCGGAGAAAUUCUACAGAAGCAAUCAACCAAUCAAGACGUAGACUAG
rnacentral:rRNA from 1 species